GGGUUGUGAGGUUAAGCGACUAAGCGUACACGGUGGAUGCCCUGGCAGUCAGAGGCGAUGAAGGACGUGCUAAUCUGCGAUAAGCGUCGGUAAGGUGAUAUGAACCGUUAUAACCGGCGAUUUCCGAAUGGGGAAACCCAGUGUGAUUCGUCACACUAUCGUUAACUGAAUACAUAGGUUAACGAAGCGAACCGGGGGAACUGAAACAUCUAAGUACCCCGAGGAAAAGAAAUCAACCGAGAUUCCCCCAGUAGCGGCGAGCGAACGGGGAGGAGCCCAGAGCCUGAAUCAGCAUGUGUGUUAGUGGAAGCGUCUGGAAAGGCGCGCGAUACAGGGUGACAGCCCCGUACACAAAAGCGCAUGUGCUGUGAGCUCGAUGAGUAGGGCGGGACACGUGGUAUCCUGUCUGAAUAUGGGGGGACCAUCCUCCAAGGCUAAAUACUCCUGACUGACCGAUAGUGAACCAGUACCGUGAGGGAAAGGCGAAAAGAACCCCGGCGAGGGGAGUGAAAAAGAACCUGAAACCGUGUACGUACAAGCAGUGGGAGC
rnacentral:rRNA from 1 species